AAGUCGUAACAAGGUUUCCGUAGGUGAACCUGCGGAAGGAUCAUUAUCGAGUUCUGAAACGGGUUGUAGCUGGCCUUCCGAGGCAUGUGCACGCCCUGCUCAUCCACUCUACACCUGUGCACUUACUGUGGGUUUCAGGAGCUUCGAAGCGAGUGCUUAACCGCUCUCGCCGAGUUGUUACUGGGCCUACGUUUAUCACAAACUCUUAAAGUAUCAGAAUGUAAACGCGUCUAACGCAUCUAUAUACAACUUUCAGCAACGGAUCUCUUGGCUCUC
rnacentral:misc_RNA from 1 species